AUUGAACGCUGGCGGCAGGCCUAACACAUGCAAGUCGAGCGGAUGAAGGGAGCUUGCUCCUGGAUUCAGCGGCGGACGGGUGUGUAAUGCAUAGGAAUCUGCCUGGUAGUGGGGGAUAACGUCCGGAAACGGGCGCUAAUACCGCAUACGUCCUGCGGGAGCAAGUGGGGGGUCUUCGGAACUCACGCUAUCAGAUGAGCCUAGGUCGGAUUAGCUAGCUGGUGGGGUAAAGGCCUACCAAGGAGACUAUCCGUAACUGGUCUGCGAGGAUGAUCAGUCACACUGGAACUGAGACACGGUCCAGACUCCUACGGGAGGCAGCAGUGGGGAAUAUUGGACAAUGGGCGAAAGCCUGAUCCAGCCAUGCCGCGUGUGUGAAGAAGGUCUUCGGAUUGUAAAGCACUUUAAGUUGGGAGGAAGGGCAGUAAGUUAAUACCUUGCUGUUUUGACGUUACCAACAGAAGAAGCACCGGCUAACUUCGUG
rnacentral:rRNA from 1 species